GCGCGAGUGGCGGAAUGGCAGACGCGCUGGCUUCAGGUGCCAGUGUCCCUUGGGACGUGGAGGUUCAAUUCCUCUCUCGCGCACAA
rnacentral:tRNA from 1 species